GACGAACGCUGGCGGCGUGCUUAACACAUGCAAGUCGAACGGAAAGGCCCUGCUUUUGUGGGGUGCUCGAGUGGCGAACGGGUGAGUAACACGUGAGUAACCUGCCCUUGACUUUGGGAUAACUUCAGGAAACUGGGGCUAAUACCGGAUAGGAGCUCCUGCUGCAUGGUGGGGGUUGGAAAGUUUCGGCGGUUGGGGAUGGACUCGCGGCUUAUCAGCUUGUUGGUGGGGUAGUGGCUUACCAAGGCUUUGACGGGUAGCCAGCCUGAGAGGGUGACCGGCCACAUUAGGACUGAGAUACGGCCCAGACUCCUACGGGAGGCAGCAGUGGGGAAUAUUGCACAAUGGGCGGAAGCCUGAUGCAGCAACGCCGCGUGCGGGAUGACGGCCUUCGGGUUGUAAACCGCUUUCGCCUGUGACGAAGCGUGAGUGACGGUAAUGGGUAAAGAAGCACCGGCUAACUACGUG
rnacentral:rRNA from 1 species